rnacentral:rRNA from 1 species
GACGAACGCUGGCGGCGUGCUUAACACAUGCAAGUCGAACGGAAAGGCCCUGCUUUUGUGGGGUGCUCGAGUGGCGAACGGGUGAGUAACACGUGAGUAACCUGCCCUGGACUUUGGGAUAACUUCAGGAAACUGGGGCUAAUACCGGAUAGGAGCUCCUGCUGCAUGGUGAGGGUUGGAAAGUUUCGGCGGUUGGGGAUGGACUCGCGGCUUAUCAGCUUGUUGGUGGGGUAGUGGCUUACCAAGGCUUUGACGGGUAGCCGGCCUGAGAGGGUGACCGGCCACAUUGGGACUGAGAUCCGGCCCAGACUCCUACGGGAGGAAGAAGUGGGGAAUAUUGCACAAUGGGCGGAAGCCUGAUGCAGCAACGCCGCGUGCGGGAUGACGACCUUCGGGUUGAAACCCGCUUUCGCAUGUGACGAAGCGUGAGUGACGGUAAUGGGUAAAGAAGCACCGGCUAACUACGUG